AGAACGAACGCUGGCGGCAUGCCUAACACAUGCAAGUCGAACGCUUUUGGGGCUUCGGUCCCAAAGGAGUGGCGCACGGGUGAGUAGCGCGUGGGAACCUGCCCUGUUGUGGGGGAUAACCGAGGGAAACUUCGGCUAAUACCGCAUACGCCCGGGGGAAACUCCGGGGAAAGAUUUAUCGCAGCAGGAGGGGCCCGCGUCGGAUUAGGUAGUUGGUGGGGUAACGGCCCACCAAGCCUGUGAUCCGUAGCUGGUCUGAGAGGAUGAUCAGCCACACUGGGACUGAGACACGGCCCAGACUCCUACGGGAGGCAGCAGUGGGGAAUAUUGGACAAUGGGCGCAAGCCUGAUCCAGCAAUGCCGCGUGAGUGAUGAAGGCCUUCGGGUUGUAAAGCUCUUUCGCACGCGACGAUGAUGACGGUAGCGCGAGAAGAAGCCCGGCUAACUUCGCGCCAGCAGCCGC
rnacentral:rRNA from 1 species